GCGCGCCUCCUGCCACGGCGCCUUCGAUCUCUACUUCGUCCUGGACAAGUCUGGAAGUGUCAAACACCACUGGAUAGAAAUUUAUUCCUUUGUUGAAAGUCUGGCUGAGAAGUUCAUAAGUCCAAUGCUGCGUAUGUCUUUCAUUGUCUUUUCAUCACGAGGGACCACGAUUAUGAAGUUGACUGAAAACAGGCAAGUGCUUUCU